rnacentral:rRNA from 1 species
AGCGAACGCUGGCGGCAGGCCUAACACAUGCAAGUCGAACGAACCUUUCGGGGUUAGUGGCGGACGGGUGAGUAACACGUGGGAACGUGCCUUUAGGUUCGGAAUAACUCAGGGAAACUUGUGCUAAUACCGAAUGUGCCCUUCGGGGGAAAGAUUAAUCGCCUUUAGAGCGGCCCGCGUCUGAUUAGCUAGUUGGUUGAGGUAAUGGCUCACCCAGGCGACGAUCAGUAGCUGGUCUGAGAGGAUGAUCAGCCACAUUGGGACUGAGACACGGCCCAAACUCCUACGGGAGGCAGCAGUGGGGAAUCUUGCGCAAUGGGCGAAAGCCUGACGCAGCCAUGCCGCGUGAAUGAUGAAGGUCUUAGGAUUGUAAAAUUCUUUCACCGGGGACGAUAAUGACGGUACCCGGAGAAGAAGCCCCGGCUAACUUCGUG